GUUUAGCCAAGACUAGAAAUGUAUCAAUCAUUGCCAAUCCCAAACUCCAUGGUGUUACCAAACCCAUGGUUGUCACCAAAAAGCAGAAGGGAGCGUAGCUGUAGCUUAAGAAAGAAACACCAAAACACAUGAAAAGAAGUGAACUGACAGAGAAAAUAGCCUGUCCUAAUCGCAAAGCUAAACCAGCACUCGUCCCCAUAGCCCCCGGCUGUUUAUCCAUUUCAUCAGUAGCACGCCACAGAGCGAUUUACCUUGUUGUGUUUGUCAGAAUUCUGCAACUCAAUCAAUAAUGUGCAGUUUUUUUUUUGUUUUGAAACGGAGUGAAUGGAAUGCGAAAAGGAAUUUUGGGGAAAAUAAUAGUGAUGGGGAUGUUGU
rnacentral:misc_RNA from 1 species